rnacentral:sRNA from 1 species
AUUUUAAUUGUUAUAUCUAAGAUUUCACCGUAUUAUACCGUCUUGUAUUAAUAUAUUU